rnacentral:rRNA from 1 species
UACGUAGGUGGCGAGCGUUGUCCGGAAUUACUGGGCGUAAAGGGUGCGUAGGCGGAUAUUUAAGUCAGAUGUGAAAUUCCGGGGCUCAACCUCGGAAUUGCAUUUGAAACUGGGUAUCUAGAGUGCAGGAGAGGAAAGCGGAAUUCCUAGUGUAGCGGUGAAAUGCGUAGAUAUUAGGAAGAACACCAGUGGCGAAGGCGGCUUUCUGGACUGUAACUGACGCUGAGGCACGAAAGCGUGGGGAGCAAACAGGAUUAGAUACCCUGGUAGUCCACGCUGUAAACGAUGAGUGCUAGGUGUAGGAGGUAUCGACUCCUUCUGUGCCGCAGUAAACGCAAUAAGCACUCCGCCUGGGGAGUACGGUCGCAAGACUAAA